GUGGGGAAUUUUGGACAAUGGGCGAAAGCCUGAUCCAGCCAUGCCGCGUGUGUGAAGAAGGCCUUUUGGUUGUAAAGCACUUUAAGCGAGGAGGAGGCUACCGAGAUUAAUACUCUUGGAUAGUGGACGUUACUCGCAGAAUAAGCACCGGCUAACUCUGUGCCAGCAGCCGCGGUAAUACAGAGGGUGCAAGCGUUAAUCGGAUUUACUGGGCGUAAAGCGCGCGUAGGUGGCCAAUUAAGUCAAAUGUGAAAACCCCGAGCUUAACUUGGGAAUUGCAUUCGAUACUGGUUGGCUAGAGUAUGGGAGAGGAUGGUAGAAUUCCAGGUGUAGCGGUGAAAUGCGUAGAGAUCUGGAGGAAUACCGAUGGCGAAGGCAGCCAUCUGGCCUAAUACUGACACUGAGGUGCGAAAGCAUGGGGAGCAAACAGGAUUAGAAACCCGAGUAGUCC
rnacentral:rRNA from 1 species